rnacentral:miRNA from 8 species
CCAGUAUGGUUUGUGCUGCUCCC